AUAGAUGUGCUGAAAUUGGUAGACAGGUUCUGUUUAGGCCAGAAUGGUUAAAUACCUUGCAAGUUCAAAUCUUGCUAUCUAUA
rnacentral:tRNA from 2 species